rnacentral:rRNA from 1 species
UACGAAGGGGACUAGCGUUGUUCGGAAUUACUGGGCGUAAAGCGCACGUAGGCGGCUUGGCAAGUCGGAUGUGAAAUCCCUCGGCUCAACCAAGGAAGUGCAUCCGAAACUGCUGAGCUUGAGUACGAAAGAGGAUCGCGGAAUUCCCGGUGUAGAGGUGAAAUUCGUAGAUAUCGGGAGGAACACCAGUGGCGAAGGCGGCGAUCUGGGUCGAUACUGACGCUGAGGUGCGAAAGCGUGGGGAGCAAACAGG